CGAUGAUGAUCUUUAACAAAAUGUCAUAAUGUAAUUGAUAAUCUUGUACUUUAUUGCUGGAUAUUCUGUGGGUAAGAACUUACUGUGCUUUGGCUUUGCUAUACAGCACUCCAAUAGCAAACUGUGUGGGUCAUUUUAUUUUAGAGUAGGACCUUUAUAGAACAGAUUGCUUUGAUGACCUAUGUUUUUUUUUUAUCCUUUAUGGUUGAAUGGAACACUCCAAGCGCCAUAACAAUAGCUACAGGCACCUAUCAUUGUAGUGAUAAUGGUGCUAGGAGUGCCAUUACACCCUCCCAGAGUAAAUGGUCAAAGAAUGGUUUGACAAAUUAUGUGGCAGAUAAUGGAAGUUCCUUGCAGGAGCUUCCAACACCACGUGGCGUGAAGAUAGACUCUAUGUCCGCGUUCAGUGAGGGCAUCCUGGCACUGCCGAGUUUAGUUAAGUGGCAGAACUUCUGGCAGCAGAGGGGGCGGGUUCUGGUGUCCAACAAAACCCAGGAAAUAUGUAAAAUCAUUCGUAAACCAUUUGACUAUAUACUCUGAAAGGGCUUUAGGGCACAUAUUUCACCAUAACAACUACUGAAGGCUGUAGUGAUUAUGGUGCUUGGAAUACUUCUUUAAAUGGGCUACACAGUGAGCACAUCCUGAGUUUAAAGUUACCCACCAAUACCCAGCUAGUAGCCUCACAGAAAGUGUUAUACCAAAUGUGUUAAUCAGAUUCUCAAGGUGUCCAUAUUUUUAUUUUUUCAUGUGAGUACAUAUUUUGUUUGUAUAUGCGU